GUCCACGCCGUAAACUAUGAGAGCUAGACGUCGGGCGGCUUGCCGUUCGGUGUCGCAGCUAACGCAUUAAGCUCUCCGCCUGGGGAGUACGGCCGCAAGGUUAAAACUCAAAGGAAUUGACGGGGGCCCCGCACAAGCGGUGGAGCAUGUGGUUUAAUUCGAAGCAACGCGCAGAACCUUACCAUCCCUUGACUUGGACGUCGCGGGCCCAGAGAUGGGUCUUUCAGUUCGGCUGGACGUCACACAGGUGCUGCAUGGCUGUCGU
rnacentral:rRNA from 1 species